rnacentral:rRNA from 1 species
AAUCAACGCUGGCGGCGUGCCUCAGACAUGCAAGUCGAACGAGAACCUCCCUUCGGGGGAGGGGACAGUGGCGCACGGGUGAGUAACACGUGGGUAAUUUACCUUUGGGUGGGGAACAACAGCCGGAAACGGCUGCUAAUACCGCAUAAUGCAGCGGCUCGACAUCGAGACAGUUGUUAAAGCGGGGGAUCGCAAGACCUCGCGCCUGAAGAGAAGCCUGCGGCGGAUUAGCAGUUGGUAGGGUAAUGGCCUACCAAGGCGACGAUCUGUAACCGGCCUGAGAGGGCGGUCGGUCACACUGACACUGACAUACGGGUCAGACUCCUACGGGAGGCAGCAGUCGGGAAUUUUGGGCAAUGGGCGAAAGCCUGACCCAGCAACGCCGCGUGAAGGAUGAAG